GAUGAACGCUGGCGGCGUGCCUAAUACAUGCAAGUCGAACGCUUCACUUCGGUGAAGAGUGGCGAACGGGUGAGUAAUACAUAAGUAACCUGGCAUCUACAGGGGGAUAACUGAUGGAAACGUCAGCUAAGACCGCAUAGGUGUAGAGAUCGCAUGAACUCUAUAUGAAAAGUGCUACGGGACUGGUAGAUGAUGGACUUAUGGCGCAUUAGCUGGUUGGUAGGGUAACGGCCUACCAAGGCGACGAUGCGUAGCCGACCUGAGAGGGUGACCGGCCCCACGAGUACUGAGACGCGGCCCAGACUCCUACGGGAGGCAGCAGUAGGGAAUUUUCGGCAAUGGGGGAAACCCUGACCGAGCAACGCCGCGUGAAGGAAGAAGUAAUUCGUUAUGUAAACUUCUGUCAUAGAGGAAGAACGGUGGAUAUAGGGAAUGAUAUCCAAGUGACGGUACUCUAUAAGAAAGCCACGGCUAACUACGUGCCAGCAGCCGCCGUAA
rnacentral:rRNA from 1 species